rnacentral:rRNA from 1 species
CCUACGGGUGGCUGCAGUGAGGAAUAUUGGUCAAUGGACGAGAGUCUGAACCAGCCAAGUAGCGUGAAGGAUGACUGCCCUAUGGGUUGUAAACUUCUUUUAUAGGGGAAUAAAAUGUUCCACGUGUGGGAUUUUGUAUGUACCAUAUGAAUAAGGAUCGGCUAACUCCGUGCCAGCAGCCGCGGUAAUACGGAGGAUCCGAGCGUUCUCCGGAUUUAGUGGGUUGAAAGGGAGCGUAGGUGGAUUGUUAAGUCAGUUGUGAAAGUUUGCGGCUCAACCGUAAAAUUGCAGUUGAAACUGGCAGUCUUGCGUACAGUCUAGUUUGGCGGCCUUCGUGGUGUAGCGGU